CCCUUAGAUGUCCUGGGCCGCACGCGCGCUACACUGACACACGCAUCGAGUCUUCCUUGUCCGAAAGGUCUGGGUAAUCUUGUAAAUGUGUGUCGUGAUAGGGAUAGAUUAUUGCAAUUAUUAAUCUUGAACGAGGAAUUCCUAGUAAAUGCAAAUCAUCAGUUUGCGUUGAUUACGUCCCUGCCCUUUGUACACACCGCCCGUCGCACCUACCGAUUGGAUGAUUCGGUGAAACUCUCGGACCGUAGCUUGGACACCUUCGGGUGACCUCGCUGUGGGAAGUUAUUUAAACCUCAUCAUCUAGAGGAAGGUGAAGUCGUAACA
rnacentral:rRNA from 1 species